rnacentral:lncRNA from 1 species
UAAUUAUAUUAUCGAAUGUUAUUUCAUUUCCCAAAACAGAAACCGGAGAGAAUCCCAAGAAAGUCCCGGCAAAAUCUCCAAACUUUCCACGGGAUUUUCGAGAUCCCAAAACUCUUGAACACUUGUUUGGAGUGAUACACUCUUCGAGUUGCAAAAUGCGAUGCAAAUUAGGGUAUAAUAUUUAGUAUACAGUAUAAUUAUUUGCCCUAAUAAAGAUCCGGGUUUUUUCUAGUGCACACAUUAACCUGAAAGUGCAUACGCCAGUUAAGAAACAAAAAAUAGUAUGAUAUAAGCAACAAAUGGCAUUUAUGUUUACAGCAAUAUAAGCAAAACUUAAUGAACUGCAAACUUCGUUUUCUCUUUGGCGUACCAGCUAAAAUUUCUUUAUUUUAGCAUUAUUUUAUUUUUGAUCAUGCGCUAAACAUACAUUUUAAGCAAUUAAAACGUGUAGAAAAAUUACGAAAUUAAUUUUGAAU